AACGAACGCUGGCGGCAUGCCUAACACAUGCAAGUCGAACGAGACCUUCGGGUCUAGUGGCGCACGGGUGCGUAACGCGUGGGAAUCUGCCCUUGGGUUCGGAAUAACAGUGAGAAAUUACUGCUAAUACCGGAUGAUGUCUUCGGACCAAAGAUUUAUCGCCCAGGGAUGAGCCCGCGUAGGAUUAGCUAGUUGGUGGGGUAAUGGCCUACCAAGGCGCCGAUCCUUAGCUGGUCUGAGAGGAUGAUCAGCCACACUGGGACUGAGACACGGCCCAGACUCCUACGGGAGGCAGCAGUGGGGAAUAGUGGAAAAUGGGCGCAAGCCUGAUCCAGCAAUGCCGGGUGAGUGAUGAAGGCCUUAGGGUUGUAAAGCUCUUUUACCCGGGAUGAUAAUGACAGUACCGGGAGAAUAAGCUCCGGCUAACUCCGUG
rnacentral:rRNA from 1 species